UUCUAUCUGUAGCGGGUGCUUCUUGCAGAAUGUUGUGAAUCUAAGCUAAUCAAACAAUAUCCAAUUGAAAAUUGUUUAUACUAGCCAAGAGACAUGUCGCAAUUUGUUCAUUUGAACGAAUUCUUCUCCUAUGACUAUUUCCUUUAACUACAGACUCAAACAAUAAUUAAAGGUAUCAAGAAAAAUGCUGGGAGAAAAGCCAACUUAAUUGUACUCUCCAGAAUAAUUGUUUUUGACUUCCAGCUUGCCCCCAUUGUGAUGUUUUUUUGGAAAAAGAAAUGAAAAUCGAUAUCAGACGCCAACCAUUUUCAAACAAGUAGAAAUUAUAAUCUGGCAAACUCUUUAUUACUUCAUAAAGUUGUGGACUACCUGGGCUUAUAAAACUCUAAGCUCCUCAAAGAGAUUGAUUUAGAAGUUCAACUCCCCUCAGGCUACCAUGCAAAGAGAAGUCCCAGCCACGUGCCACGUGAAGAGACCCUGGGGGCUGCAGUGCCAGGCAGAGAACCCAGGAGAGCGGGGACAUCAGGCACAUGAGGAAAUACGCCACCUUGGGAGUGUAGGUUCCGGGCCUCACUGCCCCAAGCAAAGCCAGGAGGACACGUUAUCAGCACAGUCCUCCCCAAACUCCUUACCUGUAAGGGCUGGAGGAAGGGAACAUUCCCGCCGGCCAAACUUUCCUGUUUUCUGUAUCUGGCCCUCCAUCACCAACAAACUUUCCCACCCCUCAGCAUUUGGCGCCCCUGCCAAAGUUGAACAGAAACAGCGAACUUCAUUGGCCAGGCAAGGACGCAUGGCGAGCACCUGUUGGACAAUGGCCCUUUAAGGAUGAGCAGCGCCCACCCUGGGCGUGACUCCCUUGGCCUCUGACCAGACCCAGGGACCUGACC